CUCGUUGCCUCCGGUUCUUAAACCAGUUGCCGACCUGUGUGGGAGUGAGUCCAGUGGCUUGAGCCAGUUCCCUUUUCUUGCUGGGAUUCGGAUAGGGGUCCUGCAGGUACCACUCCCUGAGCAGGCUCCGCGUCCGCUCCUUGAAACAGUGCGUCUUCUGCUCGCCGUCCCAGAUGGUCCGAGGCAGCGGGAACUUCUUCCUCACCCGGUACUUGUCCACGGGACCCAGCGGGCGUCCGCGGAGUUUCUCGGCCUCCUGGUAGUGCGCCUCCAGCCACAUGGCUUGCAGCUUGCCGUGCGAGUCCUUGGUGAACUUGUGGUUCUCCAGGAUGUGGUAGAGGUCCCUGAAGUUGCCCGUAUGGAAGGCCACCACGGCCCGGGCGCGCAGGAUGGACUCAUGCUUGUUGAUGGCCUCGCACGCUCCGGGGGCCACGGGCAGGGACCAGAGGAAGCGACCCAGCCGCUCGAUGUCCCCGGUCUCCUCCAGCGUCUCGCAGACGCUCGCCACCUGCUCCGGGGAGAAGUUGAGUGUGGGUAGCUGGAACAUGGACAAGUCUUCCGGGGACCGGGCAGCUGGCGCGCUGUUCGCCAGGAGCAGGGGGCGAUCAGCGAAGUUUGGCAGGAAGAAAUGGGAGGGAUAAAGCUCUAAAGGCGAUCGGAAAACCAUGGAAAUGACCUGAGAGACGAACCAAAAUUAUGGAGAAAAAAGAGGGGGCGAAUCGCCCGACGAGAGCCACGGCGAAGUUGCUCUAAAAAAAAAGGAGAUCGAAUGAUUCAAUGGCUAUCGCCUAAUGACACCAGCCUCAUAAUAUCUCCCCCCUAAAUCCGCCGUUGAGUGUAGCAUUGAAACAUUUUGUUUCCCUUUUCUAUUGGUCUUCUUGGUGUCGCUGCGCCGUUGCCAUGGCAGCGCUGCCAAUCACUGUCAAGCGUGCCAAUCAUUAGCCAGUACGUAGCGAGAGGCUUUCACCACCAGUGCCGCGCACACGGGGGGUUAUCAGAGUCUUCCAUCUCUACGGCAACCCCCCCGCCCCCCUUACUCCCCCCACCCUUCCCUGCGUCUAUCCCAGCCUAACAUCCGCAGCCUUCUCCGCGGAAUGAGCAAUUAGAGGGUGGAAUAUUAUUGCCAUCUUUAACGAGGCUCGUUCAAGCCGGAAAGAGGGAGGACGUGCAGCCUGCAGGAGGAUGGAGGGAGGCGACGCAGGAGGCUUUAAAUCACAAAUGGCUUGCAACUCGGGAGGACAAAGCAACAUUUCCAUACCGAUAUUCUUUUUUAUUUAUGUUAUUUUUGUCUUUUUUUCAGUUAAAUCCAGGUCAGGAUGGGGCACUAUGGUGGCCGGCUCUUCCUCUUUGGUCACCGGGUGCUAGCUGCUGCAGGUCCCGGUGCAGGCUGAACUCUGACGCCGCUCACCCCACCUCUCGGCGCGGGCCCCUUCAUUUACAAGCCCAAAUCUUUAUCAAUACUCGAUUAAAGACAAGUCAAGUGCUCGAAAACUCACUCGUGGGAGCACUUUUGAGCAGCCGGUUGAUCCGCUAAUGCUUUAAGACACGAUCCAUGUCCACAUCCUCUGUCACAGGACUCGGCUUUAGUGCGGUAGCCGAGGCGGUGUGAUUUUCAUGUUUGCGGCUCAUAUUUAGACAGCGUGUUAAAAUCGCGCCGGGGCGAAUAGUGGCGCGCAUUGUGAGAGCUGAGCUGCUGCUGCAUGGGGGCCGUGCACGAUUCGAGACGCCUAAUCUCACCUUCCAGAAAGCUGACAUAAUGAUCCUAAGCCGCCUUUGCUGCAAAAUCAUUCUGGAAUUCAAAACUUUCCCCCCUCUCUCUCUCUCGCUCUCGCUCUAGAUGUGCACCUUCUCCUGAGCUGACCACAGACUGAAACUUGGACCGGACACAAGUCAGUAAAAUGUGCACACGCACGCCCCUCCCUGACGCGCGCACACACACAGGAGAGAGACAGCCUGCGUGGACACAGCGUGCACAUAAAGCAGCACAGCGACGCCACCAGCGUGCAGAGGACUCAAUGCAAAAUCAAAGAGCGUCAUCAUGUGAGUAUUGCCUUUAAAAAAAGAGGAAUUGUUAUGUUUUAGUACUGAGAAACGCAAGCUGUUUAAACACCAAGAAUUACGAAUUUAAUUGAUUUUUGUCCAUUUUAUUCUGAGCUUUUAAAGUUAAGUUUGCAGGUUUUAUUGGAUAAUUUGUAGACAUUUUGAAGUGCAUUGUGACAAGUUAUAAUUAAUUUAAACCAAGGAAAAAAAUCACAGCUCUUUAUUUGUGUGCAUGUUACAUGUGCAAAAUGUACACUUUUACACAAUAAUUUAAAACAGCAGUGACUGACUAAAACAUUUUUUAAUUAUUGACUAAUUAUUUUACAUUUUGGUCUUUUUUUUCUUGCUUUAUUUUUGUCAUAACGUUAUUUGUCAUUUGUAUUUACAUUUCUGAAAGGUCGUCAUGACGCAGCUUUUUUUUUAAACCUAAUUUAUCAGCCUAUUUUACUGCGCGUGCAUUGUGCAUAAAGGCAGUUUAAAAGGUGCAUCCAUCAAAAUAUAAACGCAGGAAACGACAGAAAUUAGGAAAAAUCCACUGUAUAGAGUAUAUACAGUACAGUAUAGCCUAUAUUUGUAUCCAAGUAUACAAGAGUUCCAAACAAACUUUCUAACGUUUCUCUUUCUCUUUCCCUCCCUCCCUUGCUCUUGUGCUGCUGUAUAGUUCGCAUUGUGUGCUCUCAUUAGGGGGACUUCCUGGCAGGGCAGGGCGCUUGUAUCGGAGCUGUCCAAUCAGUGCAUUUACACGGCUUGUUAGCGACAGUUAAUGAGGGCUCCUCCCCCUCUUCUUCUUCGCUCCCUCCUCUCCUCAACAUUAAGAUUUACACCUUGUGUCAACUUCUAAUGAAGCUGCGAGCAAAAUGCCUCCUUGUGCGUGUCCAUCCUCCCAUUUGAGUUACUUCUUUCUCUGCAGGUCUCCAUGCAUGCUUUUUUUGACCUUCCUCAUCAUCAUUACGGCAUGUGCACAGUUGGGUUAGUUGUAUGAUGCAUGCAUGACAGAUUCUCCAUUGUUGCCUGAAUGAGGCUUGACAUGUUGCCUCUGCAGAAGCAAGUUCACUUUUGCAAACUGAGGGGGCGGUGCCCUUUGCCAGGCCCCUCCCUCUGCACCCACUCUCCACCUGCCUCCCCCCUCUCCCUGUAGCCUUCCCACCACCACCACAGCCAUAGCAUCAGCACGUCAGUGCCCUUCAAUUCAGGUACAAACAGUAGUGAGUGGUGGACCCCCCCCUCCCCCCUCCCCCUCACCUCCAGAGACACCACUUAAAAAUCAAUUAGGACUCCUCUGGCACCAUGACACAAACAGGUGGCCUCCUACAUUUUGGAUUAUAGGCAGAGUGCUGUCGAUUUGACCUACAGCACCUCAUUUAUUGUAUUAUUUAUUUAAUGAUUAUUAAUAAGAUCAUUCUCCAAUAAAUAAAAUUAUCGAACAAUAAAUAAAAUAAUGGAAUAGUUUCCAAGAUUUCAAGUACAGCAGUAACACUAUGCACCUUGGAAAUGACUUUCAUGUUUAGUUAAUGAAAGUUCCUUAUUGGCUGAAGUGCAGCUCAAAUAGUUCCAGCUUGUAGUCCCGUUCCCCAUCGCUACAGAACUUUCCUCUCAUCCGCUUGUCUUUGUCCAUUUAUGUAUUUCACUGGGAAGUCCAAGGGCUCCCAAACAGGUGAUUUAAACAAUAGAAGAGGGUUUUCAAGCUCUGGCUACUUCUUGGCACUACCGCUAGCCAUGUAACAAUAGCACAGUGAAAUGCACAUAAUAAUGAAAAUGUUCAAAGUGGUCAUCCAAUUGCCAAUGCCGACCAAUUCUCAGAACUUAAAAAGAGAUGGCACUCCAAAUGGCCAAACAAAAUUGGCCUGGAGGUUCAUUUCGGCCCCAGUUCUUGUGAGCCAAGCGUGCUUAGUUCUGGGUUUAGUUCCUAGUUGCAGCCUAAAGUUCGUGCAGUCGAAAAGGGCUUCCUGUGUGGAAAAAAUCAGAUUACCAACACACGUACUGUUAUUUACCCCUACUAUCCCUAUUAUUUACUGCAUGUGAUAUUAGUUUCAGCCCUUAAUGCAGGAAACAGCCUGGUAAUGGUAAUGGUAAUGGUUUAUACUUUAUUUUGCUUGACACUAAAUUACAUCACAUGUUUUCACUUGGACAGUUCCACAUCCCAGAAAAGGAGUAGCAAGAAGCAAAGUUUAUUAUAACCUAGUCUCAGCAUGGAAAUGACAUAAACAUUGAAAUUCAGUUUAAUGCAACAACAGUGCAGUCUUUUAAACACUUUUUCAUGAUGUGUUUUGGUCUAGAGCUGCAGCAGUGGUGGUGCAGCAGGGAGGAAGCGGAGUCCGUCUGAGGCCUGCUUGUUCACUCUUCCAGGUAGAUGGUCUGAUGUGUAGACGUAUAAAUAUAGGAUAUAUCAGAUGAAUGGCCCCCGGCUUUACAUAUGAGGCUCAGUGUCAUCUUCCAUCCACGUGCUCCCUUGGGACUUUUUUUUGAGAAGUUAAAAAAAAAAAGCAAGAAAGACAUCCUUUUAUGUGCACAUUGGCACUGAAGUCACCCACUUUUCACAUUUAAGACUCAGCACAAGCUGCCACAUAAAGCAAACCACUUAUUUCCCUUAUUUUAACAUACUGUGAUCCUUUUAAUAAAACGCAUGAAUAAGUCACAUUAUAGUGAAGUACAAAUAACAGGCCCCUUGCUUUGUAUUAAAUAUCUUGCAGCGACCUCCUUUUUCUCCCACCUCACUGAUGCUCUAAAUAUCCAAACUGAGCAGCCCGUGUGUGUGCUUGUGUGUGUGUGUGUGUGUGUGUGUGUGUGACCGCACAUGUAAAUGAAGGUUAGUUAAUAAAUCUUACUGUCCUUAAGUAGGCUCAAGUCUUUAAUUAAUGAGCUAAUUUCUAAAUUAGUUUAGGAGGAGAUAACCUAGGGACACCACUUUAAUGACAUAACUAAUUAAAGGCAGCGUUCUAAUAUUAUUUUCCAAAUAUUUUAAUUGCUUUGAGAACUCAUGUUGCUAUUUUUUUGUGUGCUCUAUUUCAAAUAUUUUGUCCCUCUUAUACACGAGGUCACCAAUAUAUUAGAAACGGCUGUCAUUAUGAUGCAAUGUAGACAGCCACAAUGAUAAACAUAGUUAAAUGAAUACAUACAAAAACUGAGCAUCUUUGCAAAGGCAGAUUUUUUUUAUACAGCUCUUGAACUCGAUCUCAUUGGAUAUUAGCCAAAUAUAAUAAUAACAGUUCACAUGCAUGAACUUUUUUAAAUUGUACUUUAUUCGACAUUGUGAUACAAUAAUUGACAUUAUCAAUGAUUAUUGAGUGUUUCAUAUUUAUACAAAAGGUAUUUUUUCAUGCAUGUUGUGGACGUGAUUAUACAUGAUAAAGAAAGAGACAAAUAGCCACUUAGACAUAUUUUCCUGUACACACUUCAAAAUAAUAAUCAUGAUGAUGACAUUAACCUAGAAAUCCAAAUAAUGUUAUCAUAAUCCAGUUCGUUGCUUCCCAAGGUUGAACAACAUCAUCAUUGCUCGUGUGCGUGUGUUAUGUCUCAGUUUUUGUUGUCUUAACAGUAUCAAUACUUUGUAUCUUGCCCCACGCACACCCACUGGCUGCCAUUGAGACCAUCGUGUUUUCAUUCGCGUGGAGGGGCUCGCACGCAAACGCGCGCGCACGCGCGCACACACAUUGAAUUUCUUCCUAAAAGCCACUCACAUACUUUACUGGUGGUCCUUUGACUCACUGACAUAUUGUCAUCCUCUGGUGCUGCAAGUCUUCCUCUUCAUCUUGUGAUUAUUAUUAUGCGUGUGCGUGUGGCAGAUGUCACGGCGCGACCACGAUGUUUACGUCGCGUGGAUUUAAGAAGGAGCCAUUAUCCAUCCUUAUCAAACAUUCAUGCGUGGCAGCUGUGUGUGUGCGCGUGUGUGCGUGUGUGUGUGGCAAACUGUGGACCCCUCCACCCCUACCCCCCACCCCGCCAGUCUCAUCACAGGCGCCCGUGACCUUUUACACCCAUUUGGCCAGUUGACUCGUCCUCUUUUAACAUUUAACACAUAAACACCCUGACUUUGGAACACGCGCGCACACACACACACACACACACACACGCAUACACACACGCACACACAGCGGAUGCAAGAAAUACACUCACAGGACACUUCAUUAGGUACACCUUCUCUCCAAUGAGAUCUAGUGCAAAUUUUCGGCCUUAAAAAUGUAACAUGCUGAGUUUGCGUCAUACCGGAAGCUGUUUCUAAUGUUUUGCUUAAUCCGCGUAAGUAAAGACACAACUCAAGCACUGCAAGUUACAACCACACUAUUAAACACACAGUAUAUUGGUAAAUUGACUCCUCUCUGACAGAAUUAUCGAUACAUGUUAUUAGAUAUACACACGGACCCACUGGUAUGGCUGGAAACAUGAGAAAGAAAUAAUGCGAGAUUCAAGUGAAGGCAACGCACGGACGACAAUGAAUGACUGAAAAUAGAUACAAAAUAUUUGUAAUGAUAACUCGCAGUGACGCCUCCUUAGAGGUUUCUUUUAAUUGACCCACUUAGUCUCUACAGUUAAUUAAAGCACUUAAAAAUAGGACAAAAUUACCCUUGCGAAAAUAGAAAAUAACCAGAAAUGAUUAUGACAAAAAAUGUAAAUAAUGAAAAAGGUGGCUGAAUUUGGAUCACAUUUUGAAUGUUAAUUUUAAUCUACUCUCCCUUUAUCAUAAUUGAAUAUUAAAUUAAACGUAUUUCUUUAGAAAUUUUCUUUUUAAACAAAAAACAUUUAAUGAACAGAGCAAAUUAUAAAAGCAUUGUGAGCCAUUAUUUCUUUUUCUUCCAGUUUCUCUCUAUUUAUUUAAAUAUUUGUAUAUGUUCCUCCAAUAAUUAUUUAUAGUAGAAUAUACAUUACGUGUGUGUCCUAACAGGCUAUAUGAGUGGUGUGUUGUCGCAGCAUCACACAGUAUUUUCUCUGCAGAUCAUGCCCCCCUCCCACCCCCCCGCACCCAAACAGUGCGUGUGAGUGAGUGUCGUGCAGAGGUAAUGGGAAGUAGUCGGAAGGUGAGGUCGUGGGUUCACGGCGGGGUUAAAGAGAGCCGUCCACGACUCCUAUUUGACCCUCAAGCACUCCUCCACAUGGGGGCUUCCUUCCUACAGGAGGAUGCGUCCACGCACUUUUUGCACCGCCUGUUUGUUUUUUUUUUAUGACACGCGCAAACCCUCCACCCUCACCUCCGCACGCACGCACGCACGCACGCACGCACGCACACACACACACACACACACACACACACACACACGCACGCACACAGGAAAACGUCCAGCGUCCUCACGUCAUCUGACAUCCCUGAGAAAUCUUUUGUGUUUUCAGGUUUAUUUUUAGCCUCGCAUGCAACCUGUUGGUCAACCUGCAGCAAAGCAACUAACCAACCCCUCAAGGCUUUUGGAUUACAUCACCGGAAAUUAAUUCAACGCGGUAUUGUUUUUGUUCUCUAAAAUAAAUGCAAGAAAUAAAUACCACACCUAAAAAACUAUGAAAUAAUACAAACUAUCAGCCGUACAGUGAGAUCCUCAUUUUAUAGCAAUAAUUCUAGGCUGUACGGUCAGACUGAUUAGGCCUUUAAGCAUUAUGAAAGAAACUAAUAAAAUGCAAAUGUAUUUUGGCACAAAACCAUUACAUUUGACAUUCAUGAAAAAAUAUGCAUUGUCGUGCACCUAUUAUUUGUAAUUACCAUAAAAACUAUUUUAGGUUGCAUGAUAAAUGCAAAUAUUACAGAAAGUAGUCCCACCUGCAGACUACAGCAGGUAAACAUCGCAUCAAACGAAUGAGAAGUUGGAGCUGCUGUGCGACAACCACCACUCGACCUUUUACCUCAGGCAUAUUCCGCCUCUAAUAUCCUUUAAAAUGAGCCCGGGGCAAAGAAACGCCCCUGAAGGUUUCUGUUUGUACCUGACACGUUCAGUUCUAUAUUCUGAAAGUGCUUUAUGUGCCUGAAAGGUAAACUGUAACUAUUCCCAUGUGAAUUAACUGCAUAUAUGGUGGUCAAAUAAAAUGUGCAUUUUACCUUUACAUUGGCAUAUGUUUUUAUUUCAUGUCUUCUUAUUGUAUUUGAUUGCAUAAUGCAAGCUUCCUAAAUGUAUUGAUUACCAGGGGUGGUGGUACCUGUAUCCACGAGCAUGAUGAGAUGGAUAUACAGUAUUUCAUCUCUUUUAUGACUAUAUUCACAAAUAUUUGUGUGUGUUUUUUGUUGUGUUAUUGUUACAUUGUUGACAUUGUUAUAUUUACGUAUUGUUAUAAAUUGUUUGCAAACUCGGGGAGUAAGCCCUUGGGCACAGAAGAGCUUGGGGGGCAAAAAGGCAAAGGAUUUGAAUGAGAGCCAUUAGUAGUUUUUGCUUUUGUUUGUUGCACUUAGUUUGCAUAAACUAUUGUAAGCAAUAACAGGGUAUCAUUGUAUUCUUUUGCUAACAUGGUUACAUUGUCUUAUAUUAAAUAUGUAUUGUUAAAUUGCAUUGUAGUGUUAUUGGCAUGUUCAAGUUUGUUGAUACAAAAUAUUUGUAUCCUGUUUUUUUUUAAUCAUGAUCAACAAAUUACAGGAAAAAUCACAAAAGCAUUCAAGGAAAAUUUCAAGUAAAAAGUAUCAGUAUUUGCAAUACCAGCCCUGUAAUUACUUGGUAUCGGUUUGAUAACAAAAGAUACAGUUUAGGCCAACCUUAAUUAGAUUUCACAUUCAUAUACUAUAUAUUUGAGAGCGUAUCAUUAGGGAACGUGAGCUGGAUUUGUGAGACAGGUUAGUUUUACCCGACUGAUGAUGUGUUGUUGCAAUAGUAAUCCUGCUGGAUGAAAACUGGAUGAAAUUGUAUGAGGUUGGCCUUGGUGAAAGGUAAAUGAACCCUGCAAUCUAUUCAGAUUUCCAAGUAAAUGAUGCCCCACUCUCAUGUCAUUCCAUUCUGCCUGGCUGUUCCCACCCAUUCUGUCCCAUUAGACCUCCUCCCCUCCUAAACGUCCACCUCCUCAAGAUAAAACCUUGUUGUGAACGACGUGCGACAUCUUCACUGUAAGUCAAGGGAAUCAAAGGCCGGUGCAAAGAUAACAGGAUGCCUCACACCGGGGGCAAAAUGAGGGAGCGAUGAUGAUGAGGAGACGUCACAUAUCCUCAAUGCAGGCUCAACAGAGGUUCUCAUGGGUUGUACAUUGGCACUGCGACCGCCUGUUUGAUUCCAGCGUCCCCUCAUCUCGUCCUUCACCACCCACUCUCAGUCUUUUUGUAUUUAUUGAGAAUGAGACGUCCACACUGCAGACAGCAGGGAGAGUCUGGUCGUCUGCCUAUCGCCUCCUCACCAUGACACCCCAGAGACACACACACACACACACACACACACGCACGCACACACACACACACUUGGCUGUCAAUGAGUCUAUCAGAGAGGCAGGUAGACAGCUGGGUGUUACCCUAAAUCCUUUCCGCUCUCUCUUCCUGUCCCUCUCCUCAGUCUCCUGCCGGCUGCUCCCUUCCUCUUAUUGGACGCAUUAGAGAGCCCACACACACUAAAAUCCCCUCCACCCCUCCUUAAAAAAAUAAACUGUCCCACUGGUGUUUCUCUC